UACGUAGGGGGCAAGCGUUGUCCGGAUUUAUUGGGCGUAAAGAGCGUGUACGCGGCCUGACAGGUCUGCUGUGAAAACUCGAGGCUCAACCUCGAGAUGUCGGCGGAAACCGUCUGGCUAGAGUCCGGAAGAGGAGAGUGGAAUUCCUGGUGUAGCGGUGAAAUGCGCAGAUAUCAGGAAGAACACCUAUGGCGAAGGCAGCUCUCUGGGACGGUACUGACGCUGAGACGCGAAAGCGUGGGGAGCGAACAGG
rnacentral:rRNA from 1 species